GGGUCAGUAGGUUGGUCGUGCCACCGGUACGUACUGGGCUCACUGAUUCCUCCUUCCUGAAGAACCGUAAUGCCAUUAAUUUGGUGUUGCGGGGAAACAGGACUGUUACUUUGAAAAAAUUAGAGUGUUUAAAGCAAGCUAACGCUUGAAUACAUUAGCAUGAAAUAAUGAAAUAGGACGAUCGAUCCUAUUUUGUUGGUUUCUAGGAUUGACGUA
rnacentral:rRNA from 1 species